UUGACCUCAAAUCAGGUGGGACUACCCGCUGAACUUAAGCAUAUCAAUAAGCGGAGGAAAAGAAACUAACAAGGAUUCCCUUAGUAACUGCGAGUGAAGUGGGAAGAGCUCAAAUUUGAAAUCUGGCAGUCUCUGGCUGUCCGAGUUGUAAUCUAGAGAAGUGUUGCCCGCGCUGGACCGUGUACAAGUCUCCUGGGAUGGAGCGUCAUAGAGGGUGAGAAUCCCGUCUCUGACAUGGACUACCAGGGCUUUUGUGGUGCGCUCUCAAAGAGUCGAGUUGUUUGGGAAUGCAGCUCAAAAUGGGUGGUAAAUUCCAUCUAAAGCUAAAUAUUGGCGAGAGACCGAUAGUGAACAAGUACCGUGAGGGAAAGAUGAAAAGAACUUUGGAAAGAGAGUUAAACAGUACGUGAAAUUGCUGAAAGGGAAACGCUUGAAGUCAGUCGCGUUGGCCAGGGAUCAGCCUUGCUUCUUAGUGUGGUGUACUUCCUGGUUGACGGGUCAGCAUCGGUU
rnacentral:rRNA from 1 species